AAAACCCUGCGAUGCGCGUGGAAUCCCAGGAGUUUUGAGCCAACACCAAAACAAUUGGAGCCUGGACUCUGGUUGUGGCUUGUAGGCCCCUCUUUUCGGGGUAACAAAAAGCAACCAGGAGGGCACCACAGUGCUUGAGCCAGGUUCACAAACCCGGGUAACCACGGCAUUUGUGGGGUUUUU
rnacentral:other from 1 species